UUAGGAAUCUUGCGCAAUGGGCGAAAGCCUGACGCAGCAACGCCGCGUGCGGGAUGAAGGCCUUAGGGUUGUAAACCGCUUUCGGCAGGGACGAAAUCAGACGGUACCUGCAGAAGAAGCCCCGGCCAACUACGUGCCAGCAGCCGCGGUAACACGUAGGGGGCGAGCGUUGUCCGGAUUUAUUGGGCGUAAAGAGCUCGUAGGCGGCUCGGUAAGUCGGGUGUGAAACCUCCAGGCUCAACCUGGAGACGCCACUCGAUACUGCCGUGGCUAGAGUCCGGUAGAGGAGCGUAGAAUUCCUGGUGUAGCGGUGAAAUGCGCAGAUAUCAGGAGGAAUACCAGCGGCGAAGGCGGCGCUCUGGGCCGGUACUGACGCUGAGGAGCGAAAGCGUGGGGAGCAAACAGGAUUAGAUACCCCCGUAGUCC
rnacentral:rRNA from 1 species